CCAGCAGCUGCGGUAAUUCCAGCUCCAAUAGCGUAUAUUUAAGUUGCUGCAGUUAAAAAGCUCGUAGUUGGAUUUCGGGCGGGGCCUGCCGGUCCGCCGUUUCGGUGUGCACUGGCCGGGCCCGCCUUGUUGCCGGGGACGGGCUCCUGGGCUUCACUGUCCGGGACUCGGAGUCGGCGCUGUUACUUUGAGUAAAUUAGAGUGUUCAAAGCAGGCCUACGCUCUGAAUACAUUAGCAUGGAAUAACACGAUAGGACUCUGGCCUAUCCUGUUGGUCUGUAGGACCGGAGUAAUGAUUAAGAGGGACAGUCGGGGGCAUUCGUAUUUCAUUGUCAGAGGUGAAAUUCUUG
rnacentral:rRNA from 1 species